rnacentral:rRNA from 1 species
AGUGAACGCUGGCGGUAGGCCUAACACAUGCAAGUCGAACGGCAGCACAGUAAGAGCUUGCUCUUACGGGUGGCGCGUGGCGGACGGGUGAGUAAUACAGCGGAAUCUACUUUUUCGGGGGCGAUAACGGAGGGAAACUUACGCUAGUACCGCAUACGACCUACGGGUGAAAGCACGGGAGCUUCGCACCUUGCGCGAGUGAAUGAGCCGAUGUCGGAUUAGCUAGUUGGCGGGGUAAAGGCCCACCAAGGCGACGAUCCGUAGGUGGUCUGAGAGGAUGAUCCGCGACCCUGGCACUGAGACACGGUCCCGACUCCUACGGGAGGACGCAGUGGAGACUAUUGCGCGAUGGAGGAGAGCCUGAUCCAGCCAUACCGCGUGGGUCAAGAAGGACCUCGGGUUGUAGAGCCAUUUUGUUGGUAAAGUAAAACAGCAGGUUAGUCCGCCGAUGUUAUGACGGUACCGAAAGAAUAAGCACCGGCUAACUUCGUG